rnacentral:rRNA from 1 species
CCUACGGGGGGCAGCAGGGAGGAAUAUUGGUCAAUGGGCGCGAGACUGAACCAGCCAAGUAGCGGGAAGGAUGACUGCCCAACGGGUUGUAAACUUCUUUUAUAAAGGAAUAAAGUGAGGCACGUGUGCCCUUUUGCAUGUACUUUAUGAAUAAGGAUCGGCUAACGCCGUGCCAGCAGCCGCGGUAAUACGGAGGAUCCGAGCGUUAUCCGGAUUUAUUGGGUUUAAAGGGAGCGUAGAUGGGUUGUUAAGUCAGUUGUGAAAGUUUGCGGCUCAACCGUAAAAUUGCAAUUGAUACUGGCAGCCUUGAGUACGGUUGAGGUAGGCGGAAUGCGUGGUGUAGCGGUGAAAUGCUUAGAUAUCACGAAGAACUCCGAUUGCGAAGGCAGCCUACUAGACUGCAACUGACGUUGAUGCUCGAAAGUGUGGGUAUCAAACAGGAUUAGAUACCCCUGUAGUC